UAGGACAGAGGUGCCGAGCGUUAGGCGGAAUCACUGGGCUUAAAGCGUGUGUAGGCGGAGUUCUAAGUACCUUGUGAAAUCCCACGGCUCAACCGUGGAACUGCUUGGUAUACUGGUUCUCUUGGGCCAUCUAGGGGCUAGCGGAACAAACGGUGGGGCGGUGAAAUGCGUAGAUAUCGUUUGGAACGCCAAUGGUGAAAACAGCUAGCUGGGGAUGUGCCGACGCUGAGACACGAAAGCCAGGGGAGCGAACGG
rnacentral:rRNA from 1 species